UACGAGCGGUCCAAACGUUAUUCGGAAUUAUUGGGCGUAAAGGGCGCGUAGGCGGCUUGGCAAGUCAAAGGGGAAAUCCCUCGGCUCAACUGAGGAACUGCCUUUGAAACUGCCUGGCUUGAGGCCGGGAGGGGGUAGCGGAAUUCCCAGUGUAGCGGUGAAAUGCGUAGAUAUUGGGAGGAACACCAGUGGCGAAGGCGGCUACCUGGACCGGUUCUGACGCUGAUGCGCGAAAGCGUGGGUAGCAAACAGG
rnacentral:rRNA from 1 species